GGGGCUGGCUCAGUGGUAAAGUGCUCACCUAGUGAGGAUGAGGCACUGGGUUCAAUCCUCAGCACCA
rnacentral:tRNA from 1 species